CUUUGCACAGUUAUUAUUGGCUUGCUUGUCUUUUUAAUUAUUGAGCUGACAAGUUCUUAUAUAUCCUGAAUACAAGUCUCUUAUCAGAUGUAUAAUUUGAAAACAGUGUCUCGCAUUCAAUGGGCUAUCUCUCUACUUUCUUGAUGGUGUCCUUUGAAGCACAAGUUUAAAAUUUUGAUGAAGUACAAUCUAUCUGUGUUUCCUUUUGUUUCUUGUGCUUUGGUAUUUCAUUUUAACAUACCAUAGAGUCAUGCUAUAGGGGAAGAUCUUAGAAGGAAUACCUGGUUGGUUAAUAAGGAACUCCCUCUUAAAAUAGAGCUGUUUUUAGCACUAACACUAGGUACAAAUGUGAUCGAGAGGAUGCCUGUUAUAGCGUUUCCUUUCUGCACUUCGCUGUUGCAGAGAGUGCGCUUUCUGCACCUGCCCUUUAGAAGAUGGGUCUGCUGUCCCACAUCACCUGCCCCUGCCCACUGCUGACUUCAGGUCCACAUGAAGACUGGUGCCCCUGAAGGAGACCACACCCACCUCAGCCAGUGAACUUGGACGAGGAGACGGACCCCAGUGUUCUGAUCUCUGUUAUAAAAUGGUGCAGCAGAAGUGAUGGAUGCUACUUCUCUCCUCUACUUGAUGCCUGUGAAGGCAGCAUUUCCCAGGCAGAGGCACUGGAGAGAGAAGUCGAGAGAGUUUGCCCCACGCAGUCCUCAUUCCAGGAUCCAGGGUGAGGAGCAGCACCUACCUGUGAUCACGUCAGGGGCAGAGAGAAACAGUGGUGAUGAGAGGUCCCUCCCAAAGUUUGUGCUUGGAAGUAGCAAAGGUAGAGGUGCCUUCUUUUGUCAAGGGAGCAACCUCAUGGAAAAGGUCUGUUCUAGAACUUGGUGUCUAUGUUAGAAUUCACAGGCUUGUCACAGAGACAUGUGUUAACACUUUUUAUGUGAAUUGAAAAAUGACAUCAGGUAUUUUUAUUGUCAGAAAGAAAUCUGAUUUUACUGGUUUGAUAAGGAGGACUGGCUGUGUCAAUCAUGCUAUGUGGUGGAUACCUCCAUAAUUGAAGGAGCUAAGUCUACAGUGACAAGGUUUGGAUCACAUGUUUAAUCACAAGAUAAAAACAUUUUAUCAAAAAUCCUGUAUCAGCCAAGGAGUACUAUAAUUAAUAGCAUUUUGGUUUUCCAAAUUCAUUAUAGGAUUCCACAAAAUGCUUAUACAUGAAAGAGUCAGGUGUAAUUAAUAUAUUAUUGGUAAGCUUGGGCAAAGCCUUUCUAAAAAAUACUCGGAAAUAAAGUUGAAUGAGUCUAGUAAUUGGAUAGUGAGUAAUUUGUCAAAGAGAUUAUUUCUAAUUCUGUGUUUUCAAUAAAAUUCAAGGAGGAUUUAAUUAAAUUGUCACCCAGUAAAACAUUAAAAUAAUUUUUUGAUGAUAAAUUGCAACACGAUUUUGGACAUUUAAUUCAGAAGCAAACUCCUUCCAUUCUAAUUUAUUCACACAUAUCCAUAUAUUUUUUUUUAUUGCUUAUAGCUGUAUAAAUGAGCAAAAAAAUAAUGAGUGUAUUUCUUAACCUGAUCACUUUCUGACAACAAAAACAUUCAUCGAUAGUUUGAUAAACUAAUUGAAAAACUCCCGUUCAUAUUAUUUCCAAUAAUAUUUAAUUUUUAUAUUUGAUAUCAUUUGUCAAAAUUAUACCAGAUUUAUAUUCUAUAUUUUGAUUGAUUGUGUGCUAUGAAUAAUUGUGAUAAUAAUUCAAUCCAGAAGAAGAAGUUCAAUCUUGGAGUCUCAUUAGAAAAGAAAAUUCAAAAUUGAAUUAUACACAAUAGAC
ensembl:lncRNA